AGCAGUAGUAUCAACACAGAAUGCAACCUAUGUACGUUCGAGUACCUAUGGAUUGAUAAGAUACAUGAUUUUAAAAAGUAUCUUUCUAAUGACUUGCGUACUGAUGUUGCUUUGAUAGAUGUUACACCAGCACUUUAGAGAAAACCAAGGGCAUAAUUUCAAGAAAAUCCGAGGAAGCAAUUAAUUUUAAAUCUCUUCAUUUUUAAAUAAUUGACAACAUAGUUAAGGUCAAUUUAUAAUAGCUAAUUAUAAUACAAUAAAAUAUUGCCUCUUUUUUAACUGACACUUGGGGGGUAUUGUUUAUGCUAUAUUAUUUGUGAUGUAAUUAAGUAGCUGACUCAUUAUUAUAUAAAAAUAUUAUAUGAUUUUUCACUAAA